rnacentral:rRNA from 1 species
CCUACGGGAGGCUGCAGUGGGGAAUAUUGGACAAUGGCGGCAACCCUGAUCCAGCCAUGCCGCGUGUGUGAAGAAGGCCCUCGGGUUGUAAAGCACUUUCAGUGAGGAAGAACGCCUGGUGGUUAAUACCCAUCAGGAAAGACAUCACUCACAGAAGAAGCACCGGCUAACUCCGUGCCAGCAGCCGCGGUAAUACGGAGGGUGCGAGCGUUAAUCGGAAUUACUGGGCGUAAAGCGCGCGUAGGUGGCUUGAUAAGCCGGUUGUGAAAGCCCCGGGCUCAACCUGGGAACGGCAUCCGGAACUGUCAAGCUAGAGUGCAGGAGAGGAAGGUAGAAUUCCCGGUGUAGCGGUGAAAUGCGUAGAGAUCGGGAGGAAUACCAGUGGCGAAGGCGGCCUUCUGGACUGACACUGACACUGAGGUGCGAAAGCGUGGGUAGCAAACAGGAUUAGAUACCCGAGUAGUC